rnacentral:lncRNA from 1 species
UUCUCAAUUCUGAGAAAAUCAGGUUGAGAGCCACUUAUGAGUAAUUACAGAUGAGUGUUACAGCAUGUGUGCAAUGCAAGUGUAUGGGUGUGUAAACGGGUGUGUGAUGUGAGUGUAGGUGUAUGAGUGUGAGUGCAUGUGUGUGUGGCAUGUGUGUGUGCAUGUGUGAUGUGUCUGAGUGUAUGUGUAUGUGUGAGUAUAUGUGUGAUGUGUAUGUGAGUGCAUGUGUGAUAUGUGUGAGAGUGUAGCUGUGAGUGUGUGAGGGCAUCUGUGGUGUGUGUAUGUGUAUGAGUGUGUGAGUACAUGUGACGUGUCUGAGUGUAGGUGUAUGUGUGUGAGUGCAUGUGUGAUGUGUGUGUAGGUGUAUGUGUGUGCAAGUGCAUGUGUGUGAUGUGUGAGUGUAGGUGUGAGAGUGUGAGUGCAUCUGUGGUGUAUGUGUAUGAGUGUGUGAGUGCAUGUGUGACGUGUGUGUGAGUGUAGGUGUAUGUGUGAGUGCAUGUGUGAUGUGUGUGUGAGUGUAUGUGUGUGUGAGUGCAUCUGUGGUGUGUGUGUAUAUGUGUGUGAGUGCAUGUGACAUGUCUGAAUGUACAUGUAUGAGUGUGAGUACAUGUGACAUGUGUGUGAGUGUAGGUGUAUGUGUGAGUGCAUGUGUGAUGUGCAUGAAUGCAUGUGUAUGAGUGUGUGUAUGCAUGUGUGAGUGCGUGUGUGUGAUGUGUGUGCACACUGCAGCGAUGGUCCAGGUGCAGGUCCAGACUGAACUGCAAUACGCUGAGUCGCACAAGCUCUUUGGUUUCCCACGUGCUGUGGGCUGACUCUGGUCCCCACUCAAAUCCCAUCUCAAAUUGUAAUCCUCAUAAUUCCCACGUGUUGAGGGCAGGACCUGGUGGGAGGUGACUGGGUGGGGGCAGCUUCCCCCACGCUUUCUUCAUGAUAGUGAGUUCUCACAAGACAGGG